GAAUUUUUAAUUUUAGGUUUUUGAGGAAUCUUCAUACUGGUUUCCAUAAUGGUUGUACUAGUUUACAUUCUCACCAACAAUGGGUUCUUUUUUCCCCCACAGCUUUGCAGCAUUUAUUAUUUGAUUUCUUGAUGAUUGUCAUCCUUUACUAGAGUAAGGUGAAAUUUCAGUGUUUUUUAAACUUGCAUUUGAUCAUGGUCUACUACGUUGAAUAUUUUUUCAUAUCAUAUCUUUGAUUCCUCCAAGGUGAUGUUAACCUUAUCUUGACCUAGGGGGUCACAAUGGCAGCAAGAGUUAAAAAAAAGAGACUGGCAUAUUAUACGGAGGUAUUCCAGAAACAGCUUUGGAAGAUAUGAGUAAAUGUCUGCAUAGAAAUAGACAUAAACUAAUGCAGAGAUGGAUACGGGUAGAAAGAAUAAGAAGAUAAACGGAUUGUGGUAAAAGAAUAGGAAGAAUAAAAGGACAAUGGUGAAAAUAUGGAAAUAACAGUAUAUAAAAAUGGAAAGUAAUUGACUUAAGCACAUCCCUUUAUGUGUUCAAGUUUAAGAUAAGAAAAAACAAUCACUUCUAAAAACAAGAUUUACCUGAUGGAACCCACUGAAGUUCGUUUUCUGAGCACACCCUAAGGUCAACUGAAGCCCAGGUACAUAUUUUCUUGGCUUGCAGUGUGAUUCUCAAGUAAGACUAGAACUUUACCUUUGUUGACUUUCUAUUUCUUUAGUUUGUUUUUGUUGAUGCUGUCAUUUUUCAUGUUUGCUUUUAUUUCUGGGUAAGUUUAUUAUUCUCUCUCUCUCUUACCAAGACCAUAAUUAGGGUUGUGUUUGAAUAUAAGGAACUAGUGAGUCUCAUAACAUUGCUUAGUCUAGACUACAUGUAGAAGCACUGUUUAUAAAAAUCUGCUUUGUGUAAGAACAGUAAGUUAUUCUCGUGCUGGUAAGUGAUUUGGGUAACUGUUCCCCAAAAGCCCAUGUAUUGAAGGUUUGCCCCCCAGUCUGUGGCACCAUUAAGAGGCAUUGGAAACUUUAAAAAGCUUGUAACUUUUGGGAGUAAGUUAGGUCAUUAGAGGAGUGGCCUUAAAAGGGACUGUGGGACCCUGGCCUCCUUCUUGUCUCUUUUUUGUUUCCCAGUUGAGGGGUGCAUCUUCCUCUACCACAUUCAAUGGGCCAACCAGCUAUGGACUAAAACCUCCAAAACUGGGAGCCAAAAAGUAAACCUUUCCUCCUUUUAAGUUGAUCCUCUCAUUUGUUUUGUUACAGUAGCAGAAAGCUGACCAAAACAUUCCUUCUUAGUGGAAGUGGAAACUGAAAAUCUGGUUUUCUGAUAUGAAUACUUUUUAAAAUUUCUAUUGAAAUGACAGGUAUUAUUUUCUGUUGAAUAAUAGAAUUGUUUGCUAAUCUAUUCUUUGUUAUUUUGCCUUUUUUUUUUCUUAACAUGAGCUCAAAUUAAGUAGAAAAUAUUUUGUGCUCACUGAAAAUGAGAACAACUCCUUGGGACCUGACUCAUGAAUUUACAUCAAAAUUAAAGCUGGACACCUAGCUGCUAAGAAAAAGGACACAUCCCUUUGUCCACUUUGCAUCCAGAUGUAAGCAGAUGUUUGUGGUGUGGGAAGUCCAGACAGAUAAAAGAGAGGGAUAAGACUCAGGUAUCAUUGCUAGUUGUUUGGACCAAAAGGCACCUCCAUAGAUGGACUUACUACAUCACCUAGAACAGGUGAUUAUUUGAAAAAAAUAGGCCUUAAUAAUAG
ensembl:lncRNA